rnacentral:rRNA from 1 species
AGUGAACGCUGGCGGUAGGCCUAACACAUGCAAGUCGAACGGCAGCACAGUAAGAGCUUGCUCUUACGGGUGGCGAGUGGCGGACGGGUGAGGAAUAUAUCGGAAUCUACUUUUUCGUGGGGGAUAACGUAGGGAAAAUUACGCUAAUACCGCAUACGACCUACGGGUGAAAGCAGGGGAUCUUCGGAACUUGUGCGAUUGAAUGAGCGGAUGUCGGAUUAGCUAGUUGGCGGGGUAAAGGCCCACCAAGGCGACGAUCCGUAGCUGGUCUGAGAGGAUGAUCAGCCACACUGGAACUGAGACACGGUCCAGACUCCUACGGGAGGCAGCAGUGGGGAAUAUUGGACAGUAGGCGCAAGCCUGAUCCAGCCAUACCGCGUGGGUGAAGAAGGCCUUCGGGUUGUAAAGCCCUUUUGUUGGGAAAGAAAAGCAGCAGGUUAAUACCCCGCUGUUCUGACGGUACCCAAAGAAUAAGCACCGGCUAACUUCGUG